CCUACGGGAGGCAGCAGUGGGGAAUUUUGGACAAUGGGCGCAAGCCUGAUCCAGCAAUGCCGCGUGAGUGAAGAAGGCCUUCGGGUUGUAAAGCUCUUUUGUCAGGGAAGAAACGGCUGAGGUUAAUACCUUUGGCUAAUGACGGUACCUGAAGAAUAAGCACCGGCUAACUACGUGCCAGCAGCCGCGGUAAUACGUAGGGUGCAAGCGUUAAUCGGAAUUACUGGGCGUAAAGCGUGCGCAGGCGGUUUUGUAAGUCUGUCGUGAAAGCCCCGGGCUCAACCUGGGAAUUGCGAUGGAGACUGCAAGGCUUGAAUCUGGCAGAGGGGGGUAGAAUUCCACGUGUAGCAGUGAAAUGCGUAGAGAUGUGGAGGAACACCGAUGGCGAAGGCAGCCCCCUGGGUCAAGAUUGACGCUCAUGCACGAAAGCGUGGGGAGCAAACAGGAUUAGAUACCCUGGUAGUCCACGCCCUAAACGAUGUCUACUAGUUGUCGGGUUUUAAUUAACUUGGUAACGCAGCUAACGCGUGAAGUAGACCGCCUGGGGAGUACGGUCGCAAGNUUAAAACUUAAGGAAUUGAGNGNGAGAGNGCGAGACGACGACGAGGGAGAGG
rnacentral:rRNA from 1 species